CCUACGGGAGGCAGCAGUGAGGAAUAUUGGUCAAUGGCCGGAAGGCUGAACCAGCCAAGCCGCGUGAAGGACGAAGGUGCCAAGCAUUGUAAACUUCUUUUGUCAAGGGACAAAAUCAGGCUCGAGAGCCUGACCGAGGGUACUUGAAGAAAAAGCAUAGGCUAACUCCGUGCCAGCAGCCGCGGUAAUACGGAGGAUGCGAGGGUUAUCCGGAUUUAUUGGGUUUAACGGGUGCGUAGGCGGGCUGUUAAGUCAGCGGUAAAAGCCCGGGGCUAAACCUCGGCGAGCCGUUGAAACUGGCUGGCUUGAGAUGUCGAGAGGUAGGCGGAAUGCGCAGUGUAGCGGUGAAAUGCGUAGAUAUUGCGCAGAACUCCGAUGGCGAAGGCAGCAUACCGGCGGCGAUCUGACGCUGAGGCACGAAAGCGUGGGUAUCGAACAGGAUUAGAUACCCUGGUAGUC
rnacentral:rRNA from 1 species